GACGAACGCUGGCGGCGUGCUUAACACAUGCAAGUCGAACGGUAAGGCCCUUCGGGGUACACGAGUGGCGAACGGGUGAGUAACACGUGGGUGAUCUGCCCUGCACUUCGGGAUAAGCCUGGGAAACUGGGUCUAAUACCGGAUCGGACCACUGCCUGCAGGGGUGGUGGUGGAAAGCUUUUGCGGUUUGGGAUGGGCCCGCGGCCUAUCAGCUUGUUGGUGGGGUGAUGGCCGACCAAGGCGACGACGGGUAGCCGGCCUGAGAGGGUGACCGGCCACACUGGGGCUGAGAUACGGCCCAGACUCCUACGGGAGGCAGCAGUGGGGAAUAUUGCACAAUGGGCGCAAGCCUGAUGCAGCGACGCCGCGUGAGGGAUGACGGCCUUCGGGUUGUAAACCUCUUUCAGCACCGACGAAGCGCAAGUGACGGUAGGUGCAGAAGAAGGACCGGCCAACUACGUGCCAGCCGCCGCGGUAA
rnacentral:rRNA from 1 species